GAUGAAGAACGCAGCGAAAUGCGAUAAGUAAUGUGAAUUGCAGAAUUCAGUGAAUUAUCGAAUCUUUGAACGCACAUUGCGCCCGCUAGUAUUCUGGCGGGCAUGCCUGUCCGAGCGUCAUUUCAACCCUCAAGCCCCCGGGCUUGGUGUUGGGGAUCGGCGAGCCUCCGCGCCCGCCGUCCCCUAAAUCUAGUGGCGGUCUCGCUGUAGCUUCCUCUGCGUAGUAGCACACCUCGCACUGGGAAACAGCGCGGCCACGCCGUUAAACCCCCAACUUCUGAACGUUUGACCUCGGAUCAGGUAGGAAUACCCGCUGAACUUAAGCAUAUCAAUAAGCGGAGGA
rnacentral:misc_RNA from 1 species